rnacentral:rRNA from 1 species
GCGAGAAAACUUUGCAAUGUGCGAAAGCACGACAAGGUUAAUCCGAGUGGUUUCUGCUAAAGAAACCUUUUGUCAGUCCUAGAAACACUAACGAAUAAGGGGUGGGCAAGUUCUGGUGUCAGCCGCCGCGGUAAAACCAGCACCUCAAGUGGUCAGGAUGAUUAUUGGGCCUAAAGCAUCCGUAGCUCGUUUUGUAAGUUUUCGGUUAAAUCCAUGCGCUUAACGUAUGGGCUGCCGGGAAUACUGCAUAACUAGGAAGUGGGAGAGGUAGACGGUACUCGGUAGGAAGGGGUAAAAUCCUUUGAUCUAUUGAUGACCACCUGUGGCGAAGGCGGUCUACCAGAACACGUUCGACGGUGAGGGAUGAAAGCUGGGGGAGCAAACCGGAUUAGAUACCCUGGUAGUCCCUGAGCGGGCUGGCAAGGCGCAU